UACGUAGGUGGCAAGCGUUGUCCGGAAUUAUUGGGCGUAAAGCGCGCGCAGGCGGUCCUUUAAGUCUGAUGUGAAAGCCCACGGCUCAACCGUGGAGGGUCAUUGGAAACUGGGGGACUUGAGUGCAGAAGAGGAAAGCGGAAUUCCACGUGUAGCGGUGAAAUGCGUAAAGAUGUGGAGGAACACCAGUGGCGAAGGCGGCUUCUGGUCUGUAACUGACGCUGAGGCGCGAAAGCGUGGGGAGCAACAGG
rnacentral:rRNA from 1 species